rnacentral:rRNA from 1 species
CCCCCAGUAGCGGCGAGCGAACGGGGAGGAGCCCAGAGCCUGAAUCAGUGUGUGUGUUAGUGGAAGCGUCUGGAAAGGCGCGCGAUACAGGGUGACAGCCCCGUACACAAAAAUGCACAUGCUGUGAGCUCGAUGAGUAGGGCGGGACACGUGGUAUCCUGUCUGAAUAUGGGGGGACCAUCCUCCAAGGCUAAAUACUCCUGACUGACCGAUAGUGAACCAGUACCGUGAGGGAAAGGCGAAAAGAACCCCGGCGAGGGGAGUGAAAAAGAACCUGAAACCGUGUACGUACAAGCAGUGGGAGCACGCUUAGGCGUGUGACUGCGUACCUUUUGUAUAAUGGGUCAGCGACUUAUAUUCUGUAGCAAGGUUAACCGAAUAGGGGAGCCGAAGGGAAACCGAGUCUUAACUGGGCGUUAAGUUGCAGGGUAUAGACCCGAAACCCGGUGAUCUAGCCAUGGGCAGGUUGAAGGUUGGGUAACACUAACUGGAGGACCGAACCGACUAAUGUUGAAAAAUUAGCGGAUGACUUGUGGCUGGGGGUGAAAGGCCAAUCAAACCGGGAGAUAGCUGGUUCUCCCCGAAAGCUAUUUAGGUAGCGCCUCGUGAAUUCAUCUCCGGGGGUAGAGCACUGUUUCGGCAAGGGGGUCAUCCCGACUUACCAACCCGAUGCAAACUGCGAAUACCGGAGAAUGUUAUCACGGGAGACACACGGCGGGUGCUAACGUCCGUCGUGAAGAGGGAAACAACCCAGACCGCCAGCUAAGGUCCCAAAGUCAUGGUUAAGUGGGAAACGAUGUGGGAAGGCCCAGACAGCCAGGAUGUUGGCUUAGAAGCAGCCAUCAUUUAAAGAAAGCGUAAUAGCUCACUGGUCGAGUCGGCCUGCGCGGAAGAUGUAACGGGGCUAAACCAUGCACCGAAGCUGCGGCAGCGACACUGUGUGUUGUUGGGUAGGGGAGCGUUCUGUAAGCCUGUGAAGGUGUACUGUGAGGUAUGCUGGAGGUAUCAGAAGUGCGAAUGCUGACAUAAGUAACGAUAAAGCGGGUGAAAAGCCCGCUCGCCGGAAGACCAAGGGUUCCUGUCCAACGUUAAUCGGGGCAGGGUGAGUCGACCCCUAAGGCGAGGCCGAAAGGCGUAGUCGAUGGGAAACAGGUUAAUAUUCCUGUACUUGGUGUUACUGCGAAGGGGGGACGGAGAAGGCUAUGUUGGCCGGGCGACGGUUGUCCCGGUUUAAGCGUGUAGGCUGGUUUUCCAGGCAAAUCCGGAAAAUCAAGGCUGAGGCGUGAUGACGAGGCACUACGGUGCUGAAGCAACAAAUGCCCUGCUUCCAGGAAAAGCCUCUAAGCAUCAGGUAACAUCAAAUCGUACCCCAAACCGACACAGGUGGUCAGGUAGAGAAUACCAAGGCGCUUGAGAGAACUCGGGUGAAGGAACUAGGCAAAAUGGUGCCGUAACUUCGGGAGAAGGCACGCUGAUAUGUAGGUGAAGCGACUUGCUCGUGGAGCUGAAAUCAGUCGAAGAUACCAGCUGGCUGCAACUGUUUAUUAAAAACACAGCACUGUGCAAACACGAAAGUGGACGUAUACGGUGUGACGCCUGCCCGGUGCCGGAAGGUUAAUUGAUGGGGUUAGCGGUAACGCGAAGCUCUUGAUCGAAGCCCCGGUAAACGGCGGCCGUAACUAUAACGGUCCUAAGGUAGCGAAAUUCCUUGUCGGGUAAGUUCCGACCUGCACGAAUGGCGUAAUGAUGGCCAGGCUGUCUCCACCCGAGACUCAGUGAAAUUGAACUCGCUGUGAAGAUGCAGUGUACCCGCGGCAAGACGGAAAGACCCCGUGAACCUUUACUAUAGCUUGACACUGAACAUUGAGCCUUGAUGUGUAGGAUAGGUGGGAGGCUUUGAAGUGUGGACGCCAGUCUGCAUGGAGCCGACCUUGAAAUACCACCCUUUAAUGUUUGAUGUUCUAACGUGGACCCGUGAUCCGGGUUGCGGACAGUGUCUGGUGGGUAGUUUGACUGGGGCGGUCUCCUCCUAAAGAGUAACGGAGGAGCACGAAGGUUGGCUAAUCCUGGUCGGACAUCAGGAGGUUAGUGCAAUGGCAUAAGCCAGCUUGACUGCGAGCGUGACGGCGCGAGCAGGUGCGAAAGCAGGUCAUAGUGAUCCGGUGGUUCUGAAUGGAAGGGCCAUCGCUCAACGGAUAAAAGGUACUCCGGGGAUAACAGGCUGAUACCGCCCAAGAGUUCAUAUCGACGGCGGUGUUUGGCACCUCGAUGUCGGCUCAUCACAUCCUGGGGCUGAAGUAGGUCCCAAGGGUAUGGCUGUUCGCCAUUUAAAGUGGUACGCGAGCUGGGUUUAGAACGUCGUGAGACAGUUCGGUCCCUAUCUGCCGUGGGCGCUGGAGAACUGAGGGGGGCUGCUCCUAGUACGAGAGGACCGGAGUGGACGCAUCACUGGUGUUCGGGUUGUCAUGCCAAUGGCACUGCCCGGUAGCUAAAUGCGGAAGAGAUAAGUGCUGAAAGCAUCUAAGCACGAAACUUGCCCCGAGAUGAGUUCUCCCUGACCCUUUAAGGGUCCUGAAGGAACGUUGAAGACGACGACGUUGAUAGGCCGGGUGUGUAAGCGCAGCGAUGCGUUGAGCUAACCGGUACUAAUGAACCGUGAGGCUUAACCU